UACAGAGGGUGCAAGCGUUGUUCGGAAUUAUUGGGCGUAAAGGGCGCGUAGGCGGUUCGGCAAGUCUCUAGUGAAAUCUCAGGGCUCAACUCUGAGUCUGCUGGGGAAACUGCCGGGCUUGAGUGUGGGAGAGGAGAGUGGAAUUCCUGGUGUAGCGGUGAAAUGCGCAGAUAUCAGGAAGAACACCCGUGGCGAAGGCGGCUCUCUGGGACGGUACUGACGCUGAGACGCGAAAGCGUGGGGAGCGAACAGG
rnacentral:rRNA from 1 species